rnacentral:rRNA from 1 species
AUUGAACGCUGGCGGCAUGCCUUACACAUGCAAGUCGAACGGUAACAGGUCUUCGGAUGCUGACGAGUGGCGAACGGGUGAGUAAUACAUCGGAACGUGCCCGAUCGUGGGGGAUAACGCAGCGAAAGCUGUGCUAAUACCGCAUACGAUCUACGGAUGAAAGCGGGGGAUCGCAAGACCUCGCGCGGACGGAGCGGCCGAUGGCAGAUUAGGUAGUUGGUGGGAUAAAAGCUUACCAAGCCGACGAUCUGUAGCUGGUCUGAGAGGACGACCAGCCACACUGGGACUGAGACACGGCCCAGACUCCUACGGGAGGCAGCAGUGGGGAAUUUUGGACAAUGGGGGAAACCCUGAUCCAGCCAUGCCGCGUGCAGGAUGAAGGCCUUCGGUUGUAAACUGCUUUGUACGGAACGAAAGGUACCUUUCUAAUAAAGAAGGGCGUCAUGACGGUACCGUAAGAAUAAGACACCGGCUAACUACGUGCCAGCAGCCGCGGUAA